rnacentral:rRNA from 1 species
AAUAUUGGACAAGGGGGGCAACCAUGAUCCAGCCAUGCCGCGUGUGUGAAGAAGGUAUGCGGAUUGUAAAGCACUUUAAGUUGGGAGGAAGGGCUUUAGGCUAAUACCCUGAAGUUUUGACGUUACCAACAGAAUAAGCACCGGCUAACUCUGUGCCAGCAGCCGCGGUAAUACAGAGGGUGCAAGCGUUAAACGGAAUUACUGGGCGUAAAGCGCGCGUAGGUGGUUCAGUAAGAUGGGUAUUAAAACCCCGGGCUUAACCUGGGAACUGCUUUCAUAACUGCUGAGCUAGAGUACGGUAGAGGGUAGUGGAAUUUCCUGUGUAGCGGUGAAAUGCGUAGAUAUAGGAAAGAACACCAGUGGCGAAAGCGACUACCUGGACUGAUACUGACACUGAAGUGCGAAAGCGUGGGGAGCAAAC